GAUGAACGCUAGCGGGAGGCUUAAUACAUGCAAGUCGAGGGGCAGCAUAACGAACCUAGUUUGUUGAUGGCGACCGGCGCACGGGUGAGUAACGCGUACAUACCUGCCUUAUACUACGGGAUAGCCCUGGGAAACUGGGAUUAAUACCGUAUGUGACCGCGAGGUUAAAGUUUCGACGGUAUAAGAUGGAUGUGCGUCCUAUUAGCUAGUUGGUAAGGUAACGGCUUACCAAGGCUACGAUAGGUAGGGGGCGUGAGAGCGUGAACCCCCACACGGGUACUGAGACACGGACCCGACUCCUACGGGAGGCAGCAGUAAGGAAUAUUGGUCAAUGGAGGCAACUCUGAACCAGCCAUCCCGCGUGCAGGAUGACGGCCCUAUGGGUUGUAAACUGCUUUUGAAUUGGAAGAACUGUACUCAUUUAUGAGUGCUUGACGGUACAAUUAGAAUAAGCACCGGCUAACUCCG
rnacentral:rRNA from 1 species